rnacentral:ncRNA from 2 species
UUUUGAACAGGUGAUGGGGUUCACCUUUUAACCAUCCUGGUCUCAUUCAGACGGGAUUGAUAACCCCUACCAGUGG